UACGAAGGGGGCGAGCGUUGUUCGGAUUUACUGGGCGUAAAGGGCGCGCAGGCGGCUUUUCAAGUCAGGCGUGAAAGCCCCGGGCUUAACCUGGGAACUGCGUCUGGGACUGAGAGGCUAGAGUUCGGGAGAGGAGAGUGGAAUUCCCAGUGUAGAGGUGAAAUUCGUAGAUAUUCGCAAGAGCACCAGUGGCGAAGGCGGCUCACUGGCCCGAUACUGACGCUGAGGCACGAAAGCGUGGGGAGCAAACAGG
rnacentral:rRNA from 1 species